AGGCAAUUAUACACUGUUCAGGACGGGGGAACUAUUGCUUUGGAUUGGUUGCUCGCUUCUGAUGUCGCAGGUGCUUCUUAUGACACUGGCAGGGUCAUUUCUAAAGAUGAUUCAACUCCCCUUGUGAUUGUGAUUCCUGGACUUACCAGUGAUUCCGCUUCUCCAGUAACAGCUGAUCUCACCCCUCUCAAUCCAACACAGGUGGUUGUCAAGUUCGAUACCUUCAAAAUUCUUGGUCUGAUACCUAUAAAGGCACCUGAUAUCGCUCGCGGUGAAUUGGAAAUCACUUACUUAGACGAGGAGAUCUGGUAAGGCACUUCCC